AAAAGAAACCAACAGGGAUUGCCCUAGUAACGGCGAGUGAAGCGGCAACAGCUCAAAUUUGAAAUCUGGCGCAAGCCCGAGUUGUAAUUUGUAGAGGAUGCUUCUGGGUAGCGGCCGGUCUAAGUUCCUUGGAACAGGACGUCAUAKAGGGUGAGAAUCCCGUAUGUGACUGGCUUGCACCCUCCACGUAGCUCCUUCGACGAGUCGAGUUGUUUGGGAAUGCAGCUCUAAAUGGGAGGUAAAUUUCUUCUAAAGCUAAAUACCGGCCAGAGACCGAUAGCGCACAAGUAGAGUGAUCGAAAGAUGAAAAGCACUUUGGAAAGAGAGUUAAAAAGCACGUGAAAUUGUUGAAAGGGAAGCGCCCGCAACCAGACUUUGCGGCAGUGUUCGGCCGGUCUUCUGACCGGUUUACUCGCUGUCGUGAGGCCAUCAUCGUCUGGGACCGCUGGAUAAGACCUUAGGAAUGUAGCUCCCCUCGGGGAGUGUUAUAGCCUCUGGUGAUGCAGCGCGUCUCGGGCGAGGUCCGCGCUUCGGCAAGGAUGAUGGCGUAAUGGUUGUCGGCGGCCCGUCUUGAAACACGGACCAAGGAGUCUAACAUCUAUGCGAGUGUUCGGGUGUCAAACCCCUACGCGUAAUGAAAGUGAACGGAGGUGGGAACUUUUUGUGCACCAUCGACCGAUCCUGAUGUCCUCGGAUGGAUUUGAGUAAGAGCAUAGCUGUUGGGACCCGAAAGAUGGUGAACUAUGCCUGAAUAGGGUGAAGCCAGAGGAAACUCUGGUGGAGGCUCGCAGCGGUUCUGACGUGCAAAUCGAUCGUCAAAUUUGGGUAUAGGGGCGAAAGACUAAUCGAACC
rnacentral:rRNA from 1 species